AGCUUUGUGCAGUGGCAGUAUCCUAGCCAGUGAGGUUUAUCCGAGGCACGAUUAUUGCUAAUUGAAACCCAAGAUGUUGCAUCUCUAACAAGCUUUUAGGUAAUAUUGAAGCAGUUGGUCCACAGAUCACACUUUCAGACAUGAAGACU
rnacentral:snRNA from 1 species